CAACAAGUGGUUUUUGAUAUUUUUAGUUUAAUUUUCUUUAAAUUCAGUGAUUUAGUGGACGAUUGAUAAAAUGGCCUAAAUUGGCGAUGAAAUUAUUUAUUUUGAUAUCGGUGAAGAAAUACUAAACAUGAUGAAAGGUUUAUGUGAAUAUUUUACUGAACAAAACCAUCAUAUAUUCUAUAUUUUAUAUGAGGCUAUACGAGGUAACACAAGUAAAAGAUCGUCUAAAGUUGAUUACUGAAGUUAAGAAAAGUAUUCUACCUCCUCUGCUGCACGUUAGGUUGCUUAAAAUAAAACUUAAAUUGAAAACAGCAAUAGAAUCAGGAUUACACCCAAUCUGAUGAAAACUUGGAAGAUUAUAAAAAUAAAAAACCAAGCAUGUAAUGGAAUAUCAAUGUCAACACAAGGUGAAUAUACUAUAGCAUACAAACCGAUGUGGGAACUAGGAACAGUAAAUGUGCCAAAUACUGACCCAAUUGUUGAGACAUAUACAGUGAAGCUGCUGAUGAUUUGAUAAUUAAAAUUGAACUACAAGAAUUAUCAAUUGAAUUAAGACAUUAAACAGGAAAUUGAGGAAGACCCUGAAUCGUGUUCAGAGGAUGGCAAAACAUGUUUGAAGAGGUUUAUGGAAUUCCAUAGUAAAGAUAGAAGAGGAAGUCCAACAGGAAUAAAUUCAGACUCCUCCUUAUAAAUGUGACAAGUGUAAUCGAUUAUUUAGAAAGUUGAAUCAUUUAGAACAGCAUAUGGUAAAACGUAGUCAUAAGUGUAUUCACUGUACAAAAAUUUUGAAGAUGCGAGUGCAUUAGAAAUACACCUGAGAAUUCAUACAGGUAAAAAACCUUUUGCAUGUGAAAUAUGCGAUAAAACUUACACAGUCAAAUAUUAUUUAAUAAUUAUUAUAAUUUAUUUAAAAUCGACAUGUUUGCACUCUUGCCAGGCAACAAACUUCAAAUUUUAAUGUAUCCGAUAAUCAAAAACUAAAUAUCAUGCUAAUACUGCAAAG